rnacentral:rRNA from 1 species
GUGGGGAAUCUUAGACAAUGGGGGAAACCCUGAUCUAGCCAUGCCGCGUGAGCGAUGAAGGCCUUAGGGUUGUAAAGCUCUUUCAGCUGGGAAGAUAAUGACGGUACCAGCAGAAGAAGCCCCGGCUAACUCCGUGCCAGCAGCCGCGGUAAUACGGAGGGGGCUAGCGUUGUUCGGAAUUACUGGGCGUAAAGCGCGCGUAGGCGGACCGGAAAGUUGGAGGUGAAAUCCCAGGGCUCAACCGUGGAACUGCCUUCAAAACUCCUGGUCUGGAGUUCGAGAGAGGUGAGUGGAAUUCCGAGUGUAGAGGUGAAAUUCGUAGAUAUUCGGAGGAACACCAGUGGCGAAGGCGGCUCACUGGCUCGAUACUGACGCUGAGGUGCGAAAGCGUGGGGAGCAAACAGGAUUAGAAACCCCGGUAGUCC